rnacentral:rRNA from 1 species
CGGACGGGUGAGUAACGCGUAAAGAACUUGCCCUUUAGACUGGGAUAACAGAGGGAAACUUCUGAUAAUACUGGAUAAGUUAGUAUAUCGCAUGAUAUGCAAAUGAAAGCUACGGCACUAAAGGAGAGCUUUGCGUCCUAUUAGCUAGUUGGUAAGGUAAGAGCUUACCAAGGCGAUGAUAGGUAGCCGGCCUGAGAGGGUGGACGGCCACAAGGGGACUGAGAUACGGCCCUUACUCCUACGGGAGGCAGCAGAC